rnacentral:rRNA from 1 species
AUGGGCGGUCUUGAUGACCGCUUCGCACAGCAGGCCACCCUCAUCCCGCUGCUCUGCCCACUUCCCACCCUUGCUGAGGCCUGCUCCGUGCUCCAAAUGGAGGAGCAGAACCAGCAGCGCAAGGCCAACGCACCUCGGCUCUUCCACACCGCGGCUCGUCCGUCUGCUCCGGCGCCUCCGGCACCUCCGCCAGCGGCGCCCACGCAUCAACCUCCACCUGGCUGGCGUCCAAGUCCGAACUACAAGGGCAAAAACCCCGUUUACCGCCCGCCCAAGCAAGCAUCCGCGACUUCCUCGUCCGCGUCUGCACCGGCCUCUGCGUCCCCGGCUCCACCGCCACCCCAGCUGCCCUCCGGCUCCGAUCCUUCGACCUGGCGUCCCUCGCAUGAUCCGUGGACCGGGCUUGUUCAGGCCUGGCCCAUGCCCUGGUCCGCGCCGUCGCCCUACGGCGCCCCACCGGCGUACAGCGGCAGUUGGGCGCCCGGUCUGCGCCCGCCCGUCGGUGCUCCUGGCCUGCUCGGUGCGCGCCCUCCUCCACAUGCGUAUGCCGCGUACGCGCCACUGUACCAGGCGGCCGCCGCGCCUACGGCGUACUCUCUGUACCCCUACGGCGCGCCUCCGACGGCUAGCUGGGAUGCUGCUGCUUCUUCGUCGACUGCUCCUCCAUCGAGCCAGUCCACUUCCUCUACUUCGACUAUAGCUGCACCUGCUUGGGACCAGGCUGCCUUCAUCGCCGCCAUGAACUCCCUGACCACUCAGGACACAGGUAACGAAUGGAUCUUCGACUCUGGCACCUCCUCGCAUAUGUCUGCAUCUGAUAGUACGCUUUCCUCCCUUCGCCCCUCUCUUUUGUUCCCUUCCAUUACUAUCGGUGAUGGUUCCUCCGUUCCUGUUGCAUGCGUCGGUUCUUCCACUCUUUCUUCUUCACGUUCGCCUCUACUUAUUCGAGAAGUUCUUGUCGCCCCUGCCCUCAUCGAAAAUCUCAUUUCUGUUUGA